UACGCUCGUCUCAAAGAUUAAGCCAUGCAUGUCUAAGUAUAAGCGAGUAUACUGUGAAACUGCGAAUGGCUCAUUAAAUCAGUUAUGGUUUAUUUGAUGGUACCUUGCUACUUGGAUAACCGUAGUAAUUCUAGAGCUAAUACAUGCAGGAGUUCCCGACUUCGGAAGGGAUGUAUUUAUUAGAUAAGAAACCAAACCGGUCUCCGGUUGCGUGCUGAGUCAUACUAACUGCUCGAAUCGCACGGCUUUACGCUGGCGAUGGUUCAUUCAAAUUUCUGCCCUAUCAGCUUUCGAUGGUAGGAUAGAGGCCUACCAUGGCGUUAACGGGUAACGGAGAAUUAGGGUUCGAUUCCGGAGAGAGAGCCUGAGAAACGGCUACCACAUCUAAGGAAGGCAGCAGGCGCGCAAAUUACCC
rnacentral:rRNA from 18 species